rnacentral:misc_RNA from 1 species
CCCGCCAAAACAUUCAGCUCUGUUAAUAACGUAUCUCAAGUACUCCUCAUUGUCGGUCGCCUUGUAGAGCCACAUAGCUCCCCACAACAACUCAUCCAUGUACCCACUCACCGACGCAUAGUAGCUCUUUACCACCUCCACACUUGCAUCAUAUUUUCCUCUAUACUUAUCCCCAAACUCAAACAACUGUUGGGCAUGGUGCAAGAGGAGGUGAGCGUAAUGUGGGUUUGUUCUUUUAAACACUAUAGAUGCGGCAGCCAUUGCCGCGGCAGGUUUUCCUCGGUGAAGCCCACCACGGUU